rnacentral:rRNA from 1 species
CGGGUGAGUAAUACAUCGGAACGUGUCUUCUAGUGGGGGAUAACUGCCCGAAAGGGCAGCUAAUACCGCAUGAGACCUGAGGGUGAAAGCGGGGGAUCGCAAGACCUCGCGCUGGAAGAGCGGCCGAUGUCCGAUUAGCUAGUUGGUGAGGUAAAGGCUCACCAAGGCGACGAUCGGUAGCUGGUCUGAGAGGGCGACCAGCCACACUGGGACUGAGACACGGCCCAG